rnacentral:lncRNA from 1 species
CUCAUAACUAAUAUGCCCAAAUCCCCUCAAAACCCCAAAACAACACAAUGCCCUACUGGUUACAGGCAAAAAUCCCAAAUCGCUACAAAAUCCACGACUCAAGUUUCUUCGUAUGAAAAAGAUAGGGCAAAAAAACCAUCUCCAACCAGUGAAUCUUUCGAUGGCUGCUUUGGGGUUUCCAAUUGAUAACUAUUUCUCCCUCUGUGGACUCUUUCUUGAAGUUUUCGCUUUACAUUGCACCAUUAACGGUAAGAGCUAUUGAUCUAGUCCUUCCUGUUUUUUUUCUCUUGAAAUAUUUAUUCAAUUCGGAUUUUGAUACAUUUCUGCAUUUUUGUUUUAACUUUUCAAAGGUUUCAAAUGACUGUAAAUCUCUAUUAGUUUCUACUAGUAUAAACUGAGAAGGAAUGGCAAAAAUUAGAGAUGUAAUUGAGGAUUUUAAAGAUGCAAUUCUGCUUGUGGCACCGGGUUUGGGAUAUAAUGAGAUUCUUUUCCUUUGUGAAUUUUGUUAUUUUUCAAUCAAUAUGAUAUCAGUCGAAAUUUUUUGCUAUAUUUUUUCCAUUGACCAUUUAUAUGGUGGUUUGAGAUUGGAAUUUAAAACUUUUUCAACACAAUUAUAAAUAAUUUGCGAGGUUUGACAGUCAAGUUUUGUUUUGUGUAAAAUGCUAUGCGGAUAUUGUUUGUGAAAUGCUAUGACGAUUCUCUUAGUUGAUCUUUAUUUAUUUCUUGGUAUUGUGCCUUCGCUUACUGCAGUUGGUGAUGAGGAAUACUAAUCUAUUCUUACUUAGCCAGUGCUACUGCAAUACGAUUAAUACUAAAUAUUACCUGCUAAAUACUGAUCUUGUUCACAUAUCUGACAACAGAAAUGGCAUUACAAAAUUCUUGUGCUCCAUUUUAUCUUCAUUUUAUCGUAGUUUUUAUGCCCAAGUGAUAUUUUGUACUUGUUUGCUAUAAUUUUGGUAUGGAUGUCAAGUUUAGGAAAGGAUGCUGAGGCAUUAAUCAAGAAAUUGAUCACAUCGAAAGAUAAAGGUCCCUCAGGUCUCCAAGAGAGCUAGCUGCAAAGUACUAGGAGAAGCCAACUAAGUAUGUUAGCCCAAAAUGCAAACCCCAUUUUAUCCAGCAGCAGCAUUCAAUUAUUGGUUAUUAGAUUGCAGCAAAGCAGUUCCCGCUUCUUGUAACUCUAUGUAUAGAAUAAGGUUGUAACUCUCUUGUAUUUAGCUUUGUUCAUAUUCUAACUUGUGAGAAAUGGGAGAAGAAGCUGGGCGUGAGAGAAGAAGCUGGGCGCCUAGGCGCUGGCCGGUAAAAUGGAGCAGAAACCUGGUGCCUAGGCCCCCCGAUGCAUAUAUAUAAAGCUGGUUUUUUCCCUUGCAAAUGGAGUACCCGAUUUUAGAGAAGAGAAACAGAGUGGGCUUGGAUAGAAUUUAUCAAGUAAGAAGUUGUUCUUCUUGGGUAUAAAUUCAAAGCCAUUUUUCUUUCUUUGGGAUUAACUUGAGGCUUGUUCAAGUAAUCCAAAUCCAUUGUUCUUCAUUUAUAUUGAAAAUUAUUUCUUCCCCAAUUUCUUAUCUUUCAAGUGGUUUGGGAUUUUUCACAUUGCAAGUUAUCUUUCUUGGGCAUUCUUGGGAGUGUUGUUUUCCCAACAAUUUGGUAUCAGAGCAUCUUCUUAAAUCAGGGUGGUUAAGCUCCGAUUUUUGGUGGGUGGCUUGAACUUUGUUGUGCACACAAGGUAUUUGUGAAAAUUUCCAAGUGAACUUUGUUGAUUUAUUUUCGG